rnacentral:rRNA from 1 species
GACGAACGCUGGCGGCGUGCUUAACACAUGCAAGUCGAGCGUAGCGGCGUCCGGGUGAGUAAUGCCUAGGCCUCUGCCUGUUAGUGGGGGAUACCGUCCGGCAACGUUCGCUCAUACCGCAUCCUAUCCUCUUAGCCUAGUUCGGAUUAGCUAGUUGGUGGGGUAACUGCCUACCAAGGCGACGAUCCGUAACUGGUCUGAGAGGAUGAGCAGUCACACUGGAACUGAGAAACGGUCAAGACUAGGAAGGGAGGAAGCAGUGGGGAAGAUGGGAAAAUGGGCGAAAGCCUGAGCAAGCAAUGCCGGGUGUGUGAAGAAGGUAUUCGGAUUGUAAAGCACGGGAAGUUGGGAGGCGUUACCAACAGAAUAAGCACCGGCUAACUUCGUGCCAGCAGCCGAGGUAAUUC